UAGCGCAGUCUGGUAGCGCACCUGGUUUGGGACCAGGUGGUCGGGGGUUCGAAUCCCUC
rnacentral:tRNA from 1 species